rnacentral:rRNA from 1 species
GUUAAGCGACUAAGCGUACACGGUGGAUGCCCUGGCAGUCAGAGGCGAUGAAGGACGUGCUAAUCUGCGAUAAGCGUCGGUAAGGUGAUAUGAACCGUUAUAACCGGCGAUUUCCGAAUGGGGAAACCCAGUGUGUUUCGACACACUAUCAUUAACUGAAUCCAUAGGUUAAUGAGGCGAACCGGGGGAACUGAAACAUCUAAGUACCCCGAGGAAAAGAAAUCAACCGAGAUUCCCCCAGUAGCGGCGAGCGAACGGGGAGCAGCCCAGAGCCUGAAUCAGUGUGUGUGUUAGUGGAAGCGUCUGGAAAGGCGCGCGAUACAGGGUGACAGCCCCGUACACAAAAAUGCACAUGCUGUGAGCUCGAUGAGUAGGGCGGGACACGUGGUAUCCUGUCUGAAUAUGGGGGGACCAUCCUCCAAGGCUAAAUACUCCUGACUGACCGAUAGUGAACCAGUACCGUGAGGGAAAGGCGAAAAGAACCCCGGCGAGGGGAGUGAAAAAGAACCUGAAACCGUGUACGUACAAGCAGUGGGAGCACGCUUAGGCGUGUGACUGCGUACCUUUUGUAUAAUGGGUCAGCGACUUAUAUUCUGUAGCAAGGUUAACCGAAUAGGGGAGCCGAAGGGAAACCGAGUCUUAACUGGGCGUUAAGUUGCAGGGUAUAGACCCGAAACCCGGUGAUCUAGCCAUGGGCAGGUUGAAGGUUGGGUAACACUAACUGGAGGACCGAACCGACUAAUGUUGAAAAAUUAGCGGAUGACUUGUGGCUGGGGGUGAAAGGCCAAUCAAACCGGGAGAUAGCUGGUUCUCCCCGAAAGCUAUUUAGGUAGCGCCUCGUGAAUUCAUCUCCGGGGGUAGAGCACUGUUUCGGCAAGGGGGUCAUCCCGACUUACCAACCCGAUGCAAACUGCGAAUACCGGAGAAUGUUAUCACGGGAGACACACGGCGGGUGCUAACGUCCGUCGUGAAGAGGGAAACAACCCAGACCGCCAGCUAAGGUCCCAAAGUCAUGGUUAAGUGGGAAACGAUGUGGGAAGGCCCAGACAGCCAGGAUGUUGGCUUAGAAGCAGCCAUCAUUUAAAGAAAGCGUAAUAGCUCACUGGUCGAGUCGGCCUGCGCGGAAGAUGUAACGGGGCUAAACCAUGCACCGAAGCUGCGGCAGCGACACUAUGUGUUGUUGGGUAGGGGAGCGUUCUGUAAGCCUGUGAAGGUGUACUGUGAGGUAUGCUGGAGGUAUCAGAAGUGCGAAUGCUGACAUAAGUAACGAUAAAGCGGGUGAAAAGCCCGCUCGCCGGAAGACCAAGGGUUCCUGUCCAACGUUAAUCGGGGCAGGGUGAGUCGACCCCUAAGGCGAGGCCGAAAGGCGUAGUCGAUGGGAAACAGGUUAAUAUUCCUGUACUUGGUGUUACUGCGAAGGGGGGACGGAGAAGGCUAUGUUGGCCGGGCGACGGUUGUCCCGGUUUAAGCGUGUAGGCUGGUUUUCCAGGCAAAUCCGGAAAAUCAAGGCUGAGGCGUGAUGACGAGGCACUACGGUGCUGAAGCAACAAAUGCCCUGCUUCCAGGAAAAGCCUCUAAGCAUCAGGUAACAUCAAAUCGUACCCCAAACCGACACAGGUGGUCAGGUAGAGAAUACCAAGGCGCUUGAGAGAACUCGGGUGAAGGAACUAGGCAAAAUGGUGCCGUAACUUCGGGAGAAGGCACGCUGAUAUGUAGGUGAAGCGACUUGCUCGUGGAGCUGAAAUCAGUCGAAGAUACCAGCUGGCUGCAACUGUUUAUUAAAAACACAGCACUGUGCAAACACGAAAGUGGACGUAUACGGUGUGACGCCUGCCCGGUGCCGGAAGGUUAAUUGAUGGGGUUAGCGCAAGCGAAGCUCUUGAUCGAAGCCCCGGUAAACGGCGGCCGUAACUAUAACGGUCCUAAGGUAGCGAAAUUCCUUGUCGGGUAAGUUCCGACCUGCACGAAUGGCGUAAUGAUGGCCAGGCUGUCUCCACCCGAGACUCAGUGAAAUUGAACUCGCUGUGAAGAUGCAGUGUACCCGCGGCAAGACGGAAAGACCCCGUGAACCUUUACUAUAGCUUGACACUGAACAUUGAGCCUUGAUG